GUCUCUUGUCAAUAUAUAGCCACAAAUCACACAAAAUUCAUCAGUUAACUCUCAUAAAAUGCUUUGUGGCAUAAAGAUUAAAGACUCAUAAAAUAAAGUUACAAACACAUAAAAAAGCUAACAAUCAACAAUAUCUAAGUGAGAAAGAGCUAAAAAUAUAUAAUCUAAAAUUCCCUUAUCAAAUUCCUCCACAUUUAGACUUUGCUAGUCUCUUAGCAAAAAAAAAAAAAAAAAAAAAAAAAAAAACUAAAAACAUAACCAAUGGUUUUGUUGAAAGCAAUGAUUGUCUAAAAAAUUUAACAAACAUAUAAUUCUUAGGAAAAAUCUAAAUUCCACAUUCUUUAGAAUUUCAACUCAAUGUACAAUCACCACUUAAACUUGAACCUUUUAUAAUUAUGCACAAUCAAACUUACCAACUCACAUGCACCCAAAUCAACUUAUACAUGCCAAAAUAUGUUUCAAAAUGUCCCUUUUUAUAGAUAAUAUUUAUCACGAAAAGCAUCCACUUCAUAGAAAUUAACCAAUUAUUCUCCACUAAUAUAAGCACACAUAAACAAGAAUCAAAAUGUCUUUAUAGACUUGUAAUAUAAGGCUAAGGUUAGAGGUAGAUGAAAAAGAUAUUUUUAAGCUCAAAUGAAACCAUAGCCUACAUUUAUUCUAAUCUUUAGAUCUUCCCACAAAUUUCCCAUAUAAUUCAAAAAUACAUAAUCUUUCUAUUUUCUUCUCUUCACAUUGAUCUUACUAUUUCCCCUACGCUUAUACUUUUGUAAUUUUUUUUUUCAUUUUUUUCAUUGCAAUUUUUUUCAAUUUAACUUUGUAGGGAGAAAUAUUAGAUCAUAAACAUUGAAAUGGCAACCCAACAAACCAACAUAUAUCUUUCCCUUCUUACAAGAUCCAUCCCCCCAAUAUUUAAACAUUCACAUAUAACCAUGGGGUAAUGGGCACAAAAAGGGAUAAAAUUUUCAUAGCUGCAAAUGUUUAGAUAUUGGAUUCAUAGAAGAAAAAAAAAUAGUCAUUAUGGAUCAAAAAUGGAAAACUAGAGUAUUAGAUAUCAUAGAUAAACUUGAAAGGCUUUAACAAUCCAAAGAAUUUUCCUUAAUCAUCUUCCUAAUCAUGUGUAUUUAUGAUUUUGCCUCAAAUAAUUAAUCAAUGCUUUCUAGAGUGAUCGAGACUACAUAUAUAAUACCUUGCAUAAAUCUCUCCAAGUUCUAGUGAAAAGGUAAAUCCAAUUGUGUUCAUCAUUUAAAAAAUCUAAGUACAAGCAUAAGUGACAACCAAAACAAGAGUUAAGCACGCAAUUCAUGUAGAACUCAUCAAUUUCCAGAAUUAUUUCCAUCACAAUCAAAUUUUUUAUCACUGACAUACAUAUUUCAACUUAACCAUGCUUAUCGCAACCUAAAAACAAACUAAAUUAAAAAAAAACAAAACUAAAAAAUAACUAAACAUAAUGCAAACAAUGAAAUUAUGCCAGGCUUUCGAAUAACACCCAUGGUGUAAUAUCCGCCUUUGCAUCUGAUGGGUAUUGUGGUAAUUUUGGCCUGUGAGAGCUAUUUGGUAAUUUAUGUUGAUGCAUAUGAAUUUCUUUUAUUUUUUAUUUUCAUGAUAAUAUUUAAUUUAUUUCAUGAUUAUGAUAUGUGUAUGUAUGGCGACGUCAAAACACGGUUCCUUCAACUAUCAGGGGCUUAAGUGCCGAAGAUAUUGGAAAUUAGGGGUGAAAGUAUAAUUAUGAAUCUUGUGAUAGGGAUUGUAAUUUUCAUAAGUGAAAACUAUUAGUUUAAGGGAAAAUUACAAAAAAGACUUGAUCCUAAUUAUGAGAGGGUUAGAAUUAGGGGCGAAUUGGUCUUUUGGUUUUAGGGUUAGCUUUUGCAGACUAAAAAAAAAUUAGGUUAAAUCUAUCGUAUUAUUGUUAGUCGUUGUAUUGAUCAAAGCAAUGAUUUUCUUUGAGGUUGAGGUCUAGAAGGUUGGAGAACUAAGAAUCAACUUGAAGGUAAAGGCAAGGGUAAGCUGGACCAACUAUGAGUUGGAGAACUCUGGGGGUGAGGUGUACAUUGUCAGUUGCUCAUCUGCCACGCCCGAGGUAAAGGCAAAGGCAAGUUAGACCAGCCCUGAGAUGGAGAGCUGCGAGGCUGAAUGUACAUAGUCAGCUGUUCGGUCGCUUUGGCCGAGGAGUGGAUCAGGACAGGGAUUGCUGAACUGUCUAUUUUGCCUUAGUAUGGCUAAUAUUGUAUCUAAAUCGCAAAUCUUUUGUAAAUGGUUUUAAACCUAUUAUUUUGGGAUCCCG